GACGAACGCUGGCGGCGUGCUUAACACAUGCAAGUCGAACGGAAAGGCCCUGCUUUUGUGGGGUGCUCGAGUGGCGAACGGGUGAGUAACACGUGAGUAACCUGCCCUUGACUUUGGGAUAACUUCAGGAAACUGGGGCUAAUACCGGAUAGGAGCUCCUGCUGCAUGGUGGGGGUUGGAAAGUUUCGGCGGUUGGGGAUGGACUCGCGGCUUAUCAGCUUGUUGGUGGGGUGGUGGCUUACCAAGGCUUUGACGGGUAGCCGGCCUGAGAGGGUGACCGGCCACAUUGGGACUGAGAUACGGCCCAGACUCCUACGGGAGGCAGCAGUGGGGAAUAUUGCACAAUGGGCGGAAGCCUGAUGCAGCAACGCCGCGUGCGGGAUGACGGCCUUCGGGUUGUAAACCGCUUUCGCCUGUGACGAAGCGUGAGUGGCGGUAAUGGGUAAAGAAGCACCGGCUAACUACGUG
rnacentral:rRNA from 1 species